rnacentral:rRNA from 1 species
GGGGAAUCUUGCACAAUGGGGGAAACCCUGAUGCAGCGACGCCGCGUGAACGAUGAAGCCCUUCGGGGUGUAAAGUUCUUUCGACAGGAACGAUAAUGACGGUACCUGGAGAAGAAGCUGCGGCUAACUACGUGCCAGCAGCCGCGGUAAUACGUAGGCAGCGAGCGUUGUUCGGAGUUACUGGGCGUAAAGAGUGCGUAGGCGGCGAGCCAAGUUUGGUGUGAAAUCUCCCGGCUUAACCGGGAGGGUGCGCCGAAAACUGGUUGGCUGGAGUAUGGGAGAGNAAAGCGGAAUUCCUGGUGUAGCGGUGAAAUGCGUAGAUAUCAGGAGGAACACCUGCGGUGUAGGCAGCUUUCUGGACCAAAACUGACGCUGAGGCACGAAAGCGUGGGUAGCAAACA